rnacentral:rRNA from 1 species
UACGUAGGGGGCAAGCGUUGUCCGGAUUUAUUGGGCGUAAAGAGCGUGUAGGCGGCCUGACAAGUCUGCUGUGAAAACUCGAGGCUCAACCUCGAGAUGUCGGCGGAAACUGUCUGGCUAGAGUCCGGAAGAGGAGAGUGGAAUUCCUGGUGUAGCGGUGAAAUGCGCAGAUAUCAGGAGGAACACCUGUGGCGAAGGCGUCCAUCUGGCCCGUUACUGACGCUGAUGCGCGAAAGCUAGGGGAGCAAACGGG